GGGAUAACACCUGGAAACAGAUGCUAAUACCGGAUAACAACACUAGACGCAUGUCUAGAGUUUGAAAGAUGGUUCUGCUAUCACUCUUGGAUGGACCUGCGGUGCAUUAGCUACUUGGUAAGGUAACGGCUUACCAAGGCAAUGAUGCAUAGCCGAGUUGAGAGACUGAUCGGCCACAUUGGGACUGAGACACGGCCCAAACUCCUACGGGAGGCAGCAGUAGGGAAUCUUCCACAAUGGACGAAAGUCUGAUGGAGCAACGCCGCGUGAGUGAAGAAGGGUUUCGGCUCGUAAAGCUCUGUUGGUAGUGAAGAAAGAUAGAGGUAGUAACUGGCCUUUAUUUGACGGUAAUUACUUAGAAAGUCACGGCUAACUACGUGCCAGCAGCCGCGGUAAUACGUAGGUGGCAAGCGUUGUCCGGAUUUAUUGGGCGUAAAGCGAGUGCAGGCGGUUCAAUAAGUCUGAUGUGAAAGCCUUCGGCUCAACCGGAGAAUUGCAUCAGAAACUGUUGAACUUGAGUGCAGAAGAGGAGAGUGGAACUCCAUGUGUAGCGGUGGAAUGCGUAGAUAUAUGGAAGAACACCAGUGGCGAAGGCGGCUCUCUGGUCUGCAACUGACGCUGAGGCUCGAAAGCAUGGGUAGCGAACAGGAUUAGAUACCCUGGUAGUCCAUGCCGUAAAC
rnacentral:rRNA from 1 species